CUACGGGGGGCAGCAGUGGGGAAUAUUGCACAAUGGAGGAAACUCUGAUGCAGCAACGCCGCGUGGAGGAUGACACUUUUCGGAGCGUAAACUCCUUUUAUAUAGGAAGAAGAUGACGGUACUAUAUGAAUAAGCGCCGGCUAACUCCGUGCCAGCAGCCGCGGUAAUACGGAGGGCGCAAGCGUUACUCGGAAUCACUGGGCGUAAAGAGCGUGUAGGCGGAUUAAAAAGUCAGAAGUGAAAUCCUAUAGCUUAACUAUAGAACUGCUUCUGAAACUCUUAAUCUAGAAUAUGGGAGAGGUAGAUGGAAUUUCUGGUGUAGGGGUAAAAUCCGUAGAGAUCAGAAGGAAUACCGAUUGCGAAGGCGAUCUACUAGAACAUUAUUGACGCUGAGACGCGAAAGCGUGGGGAGCAAACAGGAUUAGAUACCCUUGUAGUC
rnacentral:rRNA from 1 species